CUCCGAUGCGUAAUCAAUCGAAACACACGUGGCUCAAGUCAUUUGCUAAAUGCUGGUUCUUGAGGUUCCCUUCUGUCACGAAGGAGUGAAAACGCAGCAUUUAUCAAAUGACUUGAGCCACGUGUUUCGAUUGCUGUCCACUCAGAGUGGACAGUGAGAGAGAGAGAAAGGUCUUCCUUCCGUUGGUUCACCCUCCAAUGGCUACCGCGGCCGGUGCAGUGCGCUGAUCCAAAGCCAGGAGCCAGGUGCUUUUCCUGGUCUCCCAUGGGGUGCAGGGCCCAAGCACUUGGGCCAUCCUCCACUGCACUCCCGGGCCACAGCAGAGAGCUGGCCUGGAAGAGGGGCCACCGGGACAGAAUCCGGCGCCCCGACCAGGACUAGAACCCGGUGUGCCGGCGCCGCAAGGCGGAGGAUUAGCCUAGUGAGCCGCGGCGCCAGCCGAUUACUUACACUUUUUAGGCUUCAUAUCUAUCUAUUGUUGGCUACUGUGUGAGACUGUGACUCUUAGAUGUGUGUUGUGACCUGUGGACUAAUGCUAUACUGAGUGGUAUUGACCUUUAGAUGUGUGCACUGAUUAUAUACUGAGUGGUAUUGAACAAUAAAUUAUGAGGAAGCUGUCACAAUUCUGUUUCUUCUGACACGUCACAUUAGCCCUGUCGAGCUGUGUGACAAGUGGCGCUCACGACACCAUCCCAGCCCGGGUUCCCUCCCAGCCAGACACUCCAUGCACGUCCAGCUCUGGCUAUCUCACGGGGCACCUGCUGACCACCUUGGCCUUCGGGCUCUGAUGCCCACAGGGGAGCCGCAGGGGGACCGCGACUCCGUGUUAUGCUCACAGAGGCACCGCCUAAGUUGCGUGGCAUAGAGGGUGGAAGGGAGACACCGGGUCCCUCGGGAGCCUCUCGCAGAGGUGGGGUCCAGAGACCACGGCAUCAGAACCACCUGGGUGUGGAUGAACAACGCAUGUGCCUACGGCUGCCUGGGACUUGGGACCAGUGCAUCUGGCGAUGGGCCUCGGCUCUGCAGUUACAAACUUUUAUGCACACUCACUUGAAAAUCACUUUUAUAAAAAAUUCUGGAUAAUGAUA